rnacentral:rRNA from 1 species
AACGAACGCUGGCGGCGCGUUUAAGACAUGCAAGUCGCACGGUGUCAUUUUGGUAGCAAUACUUGGAUGGCACAGUGGCGCACGGGUGAGUAGCACGUGAAUGACAUGCCCUGCAGAGGGGGAUAGCCCAGGGAAACUUGGAUUAAUACCCCAUGGUAUCGCGAGAUUAAAGGGUGGCCGCAAGGCUGCCGCUGCGGGAUUGGUUCGCGUUCUAUCAGCUUGUUGGCGGGGUAACGGCCCACCAAGGCUACGACGGAUACCUGGUCUGAGAGGACGAUCAGGCACACUGGAACUGAGACACGGUCCAGACACCUACGGGUGGCAGCAGUCGAGAAUAAUUCACAAUGGGGGCAACCCUGAUGGUGCAACGCCGCGUGGAGGAUGAAGGUCUUCGGAUUGUAAACUCCUGUCAUCCGGGAGCAAGACCUGGGAGUUAACAGCUCACAGGGUUGAUAGUACCGGAAGAGGAAGGGACGGCUAACUUCGUGCCAGCCGCCGCGGUAACAC